UACGUAGGGUGCGAGCGUUGUCCGGAAUUAUUGGGCGUAAAGGGCUCGUAGGCGGUUUGUCGCGUCGGGAGUGAAAUCCACUGGCUUAACUGGUGCUUGCUUUCGAUACGGGCAGACUGGAGGUAUGCAGGGGAGAACGGAAUUCCUGGUGUAGCGGUGAAAUGCGCAGAUAUCAGGAGGAACACCGGUGGCGAAGGCGGGUCUCUGGGCCGAACUGACCGCGUGGAGGAGCGGAAAAGUGCGGGUGGGGAGAAACAGGGA
rnacentral:rRNA from 1 species